UUUGUCAUUAUUUUUCAAAGUUGUUUACUUCAUCCAAUCCUCAAAAUAUUGAUCAUGUAUCUAGCCUGGUUCAAGGUCGGAUGGCUCGCGUGCUUUAAAAGAGAUUAUUCUCAAUUGGGAUUUUACAAGAGAGGAGGUUUUCCAAUCUCUUAAGCAAAUGCAUCCUACCAAAACAGGUAUUCACGGAACCCCUACUUUAUUUUACUAAACAUUUUUGGGAAGAUGCAGCAGAAGGUGCUAGAAAUCCCAAAUGAGGAUGGUGAUCCAAAGGCUGUCAAUGACAACUUGAUUGCCUUUUUUUUAUAUUAUUUGUUUACACUGAGACUUUGACUGCUUUGAUACCCAAAACGAAGAAGCCAACGCAUCUAGUGAAUUCCGGCUCAUUAAUUAGUUUAUGAAAAUGAACUGUGCUCUUCAAAUUGGUGACAAAGAUGAUAGCAAAUAAAUUGAAGAAAUUUCUUCCAUAUAUUGUCAGUGAACAAUAGGGUGCUUUUGUCAUUACUCACAAGCAAAUGACUGACAAUGUCUUAUGUCAUCAUAGAUCAUCCUUGGACUGAAAGAUGAUUAUUGUUGUGUGCAAUGGAGUUCUUGUCCUCUCCAAAUUCAGUCCUUGGUGUUUGCCGAUGCCCUAGUCAUUAGUUUUGUUCGUAAUUAGUUCUUUUUCCUGGUUUUGUUUUGU
rnacentral:lncRNA from 1 species